UACGUAGGUGGCAAGCGUUGUCCGGAUUUACUGGGCGUAAAGGGCGUGCAGGCGGUUUGUUAAGUCUAGGGUGAAAGCUCCCGGCUCAACUGGGAGAGGUCCUUGGAUACUGGCAGACUUGAGGAGAGUAGAGGAGAGUGGAAUUCCCGGUGUAGUGGUGAUAUGCGUAGAUAUCGGAAGGAACAUCAGUGGCGAAAGCGGCUUCCUGGUCCAGCACCGACGUCAGGCACGAAAGCGUGGGGAGCAAACAGG
rnacentral:rRNA from 1 species